rnacentral:lncRNA from 1 species
AUGUUUAGUUCCUUGAGAAAUCUCCAUACUGCUUUCCAUAUAGGUUGUACUAAUUUACCCAUUUCCACCAACAGUGUAAAAGCAUUCCAUUUUCUUCACAUCUUUACCAGAAUCUUUUAACUUUUGACUUUCUAAUAGUUGCCAUUCUGAUUGGUAUAAGAUGAUAUCUCAUUGUGGUUUUAAUUUGCAUUUUUCUGGUGAUUGGUGGUGAACAUUUUUUAUGCUUAUUGGCCAUUUGUAUAUCUU